rnacentral:rRNA from 1 species
AGCGAACGCUGGCGGCAGGCUUAACACAUGCAAGUCGAACGCAUCCUUCGGGAUGAGUGGCAGACGGGUGAGUAACACGUGGGAACGUACCCUUCGGUUCGGAAUAACUCUGGGAAACUAGAGCUAAUACCGGAUACGCCCUUUUGGGGAAAGGUUUACUGCCGAAGGAUCGGCCCGCGUCUGAUUAGCUAGUUGGUGGGGUAACGGCCUACCAAGGCGACGAUCAGUAGCUGGUCUGAGAGGAUGAUCAGCCACACUGGGACUGAGACACGGCCCAGACUCCUACGGGAGGCAGCAGUGGGGAAUAUUGGACAAUGGGCGCAAGCCUGAUCCAGCCAUGCCGCGUGAGUGAUGAAGGCCUUAGGGUUGUAAAGCUCUUUUGUCCGGGACGAUAAUGUCGGUACCGGAAGAAUAAGCCCCGGCUAACUUCGUGCCAGCCGCCGCCGUAAUAC